rnacentral:SRP_RNA from 1 species
ACCAGGCUUGGUGGCACGUGCCUGUAGUCCCAGCUACGUGGGAGGCUCAGGUGGGAGGAUCACCUGAGCCCAGGAGUUCUGGGCUGUAGUGUGCUAUGCCGAUUGGGUGUCUGUACUAAGUUUGGCAUCAAUAUGGUGACCUCCCAUGAGCGGAGGACCACCAGGUUGCCUAAGGAGGGAUGAACCUGCCCAGGUUGGAAACAGAGAGGUCAAAACUCCCGUGCUGAUCAGUAGUGGGAUCACGCCUGUGAAUAGCCACUGUACCCCAGCCUAGGCAACAUAGCGAGACCCCAUCUCU